GAUGAACGCUGGCGGCGUGCUUAACACAUGCAAGUCGAACGAAGCACUUCAUAAAGUUUACUUUAAGAAGUGACUUAGUGGCGGACGGGUGAGUAACGCGUAGGUAACCUGCCUUACACAGGGGGAUAACAGUUAGAAAUGACUGCUAAUACCGCAUAAAACAGCAGAGUCGCAUGACUCAACUGUCAAAGAUUUAUCGGUGUAAGAUGGACCCGCGUCUGAUUAGCUGGUUGGUGGGGUAACGGCCUACCAAGGCGACGAUCAGUAGCCGGCCUGAGAGGGUGAACGGCCACAUUGGGACUGAGACACGGCCCAAACUCCUACGGGAGGCAGCAGUGGGGAAUAUUGGACAAUGGGCGAAAGCCUGAUCCAGCGACGCCGCGUGAGCGAUGAAGUAUUUCGGUAUGUAAAGCUCUAUCAGCAGGGAAGAAAACGACGGUACCUGACUAAGAAG
rnacentral:rRNA from 1 species